rnacentral:rRNA from 1 species
UACGAAGGGGGCUAGCGUUGCUCGGAAUUACUGGGCGUAAAGGGAGCGUAGGCGGGUUAUCAAGUUGGAGGUGAAAGCCCAGGGCUCAACCUUGGAAUUGCCUUCAAAACUGAUAGCCUAGAGUAUGAUAGAGGUAUGUGGAACUCCGAGUGUAGAGGUGAAAUUCGUAGAUAUUCGGAAGAACACCAGUGGCGAAGGCGACAUACUGGGUCAUGACUGACGCUGAGGCUCGAAAGCGUGGGGAGCAAACGGG